rnacentral:rRNA from 1 species
AACGAACGCUGGCGGCGUGCCUAACACAUGCAAGUCGAGCGAGAAAGUUCCCUUCGGGGAGCGAGUACAGCGGCGAACGGGUGAGUACAACGUAGGUAACCUACCCCCGAGACUGGGAUAACCUGUCGAAAGACGGGCUAAUACCGGAUAAGACCACGAGGGCUGCGGCCCUUGGGGUAAAAAGUGGCCUCUGCUUUGCAAGCUACUACUCGAGGAGGGGCCUG